CCAUUCUAUGAUUCUAUUUCUAUAAAGAUCCGAGUGGGUUUUUCAGGGCUGCAAAACCUCUGCACUCUGAUACGACUCUAGAAAACACCUCUCUAACACCAAGCUCCUCCAAGACUGCUGGGCUCUGUGGCAUGCUUUUCCCAGAGCUCAGCCCCACGCACUGCAUCCAGCGCUAAUGAUCCUGCAUCAUUUAUAAGCUAUUCAGCUUCACUUCUGAUUAAAACCCUAUUAAAGAACGGGGCAGCAUCACAAAAAGAGGCUGAUGGCCUGGAGCACCCUUUCCUUUUACCACGGAGGUGUUGGAUGCACCUCAAUAGCAGCACUGGUGGACGUGGCUGGGCACAGGGAUGGGGCACAGCCCCACACACUCUCUCCCCAUCCUGCCGUGCCUCUGGAGGAGGACCCGUGCCCUUGGCACUGCUGCUCAAGGGCACAGAUGUUGGUCCAAGCCAUCCAUCCUUGCGGCAGGGCAGCCUGCCUCGCUCCAUCCACCUGAAGACGAGGGGUCACUUUUCAACCGCAUUUCUUCCCAAAUGCCGCGGGCCCCGGAGUUCCCGUUGUGCGACGAGGCUGCCAGGGGACAACGGGGGACAGACACCAGGCCGAGCUCAGAAUGAAGCAGCCCAUUCCGCCGUGACGGGUUGCCAGGACGUAGCAAUGCAGAAGGGACCAACAGACAGCGGCAGACAUUGCCAUGGAGGACAAGGAAUGAAAGCCAGCACUGUACCACUGUGUAAAUAAUGGCAAACAGAGCGCUCACAGCUCAUCAGUCUGAAGUCGUCUCACCAAACCAACAGCAAAACUGACACUGAACGACAUCGAAAGAAAUCAAUAUCCUUCCAGUCCCCCCUUGGAGACAUCAACACACCAAAUACUCAAGGACCUCUAAAUGACCUUUCUGGAGCCCAGGACUUGGACCAGAUGAUCUCAGGAGAACCCUUUCAACCUUAACAACUGCUUUAGUCUAUGAACAGUCUGCAAUACUGUUGCAAGGUAAGUUGUUAUCCUUUAAACUUCCUCCUCCCUGACAUCCUCAACUGAAAGCACUUAGCACAGAACGGCUUGGGUUGGAAGGGAUCCAAAACCAAUCCACUUCUAAUCUCCCUGCCACGUGCUGGUUGCCACCCACCAAAUCAGGCUGCCCAGGGCCUCAUCCAACCUGGCCUUGGACACCUCCAGGGAUGGGGCAUAAACAGCUUGUCUGGUAAUUCCUUAAAAAGGCAGAAGCUUGCUCUUCUGAAGUUCAGUCAUACCUUUGCUCAAUCGACAUUUACACAAUCGGUCUAAAGAAGCCAUUUGAAAAAAAUUAGGAAAUCAAAAAUAAAACCUCUAUUUUCAUAACCAGCCUAAUAAUCCUCUCUUUGAGUGCAAAUGGGGAUCAGACAGUAAGCAAAGCUGAUCAGCUUUCUAGUACAGGCAAGAGAAUGUCACCUAAGUGAGUCAAGAGCAAAGCCCUAAUGCUUCUAGUUAAUUCAACCAGCAUUGAUUGGACUCCUGUUUUUUUCAGUUAAGAGGUUCUCAUCAAGCAUCAGUUAUUUUAAAAUUUGUUCUCUAAGCUCAGUGCUGCAUAAUUGUUUAGAGAAAAUUCUCCAUGCCUCCUACUGACUUCCUGGUAACGCAGCAUUCCUUCAAAGCCUCUCAAGAGACUAUCCUGUCUUUAAAGUACAGCUAGGAUAUACAAACAGUCAUCUUUUACCAGCACCGAAAGCACAUCCAGCAGAACUUUCACAGAAUUACAUGUUCAUGCAUCUGCUGCUGUUCAAUUUAGGAUGAUUAAGACAAUGCA